UCCAGCUGUAUGGAGCAGUCAUAACCAGCCCAGCCUAGUUCGCAUUCGCAUUUGUACUCUCCACUUUCGAUGUGACAUUUGCCAUUUCCAUGACAGUUGUGCGGACAUCCGGCUGUAUUGAAGAAGUUCGUGUACAAGAAAAGAACACGGUGAGAAGAAAUACCUUCCACAGAAAGACUACGAUCUAACAGAAUGAUUGAUUAUCAAAUUUCCAUAUGCUAACGAACAAAGGACGUGACAGUUAUUGUUGAAGUUGGUUCUUUCCAUGGUGGUUGAAUAGAAAGUAUUCUUUGUUCACGUGGUUUUUACUUUUCGGCUGAAUGAAUUCGUAUCAGAUGAAAGGAUUACAGAUUGACCCGCAAGUUUCAAGAGUGUUGCUGUGUUGCUUUAACUUCGAAUAUUCAUUUUGAUUGAAAUAGUAUACCUUUAAACAUUCAAACUAUUAUCACUGGUUAUUUCACGUAAGAAAUAGAAUCAAAAUGAUGCAACGCCGACUUCUAUCAAAGGAUUUGUUCUGCGAGGUGAACUUUCGCUCGGUUAAAUUUUCAAUAAUGGUAUCAUGCAGAAUGACUAAAAAAAAGUCUGGGUUUAUUUAAGUAAGUAGGUUGUGUGUUUGCUAACGU